GCUCUUUUAGCUCAGUUGGUCAGAGCACCCGUUUAGUAAGCGGGAGGUCCUGAGUUCGACUCUCAGAGAGAGCA
rfam:Selaginella moellendorffii unplaced genomic scaffold SELMOscaffold_31, whole genome shotgun sequence.